UUACGGCCACAUCACAUUAAAAUACCAGUUCCUAUCCAAUCACUGAAGUUAAGCAAUAUUGAACAUGGUCAGUACCUAGAUGGGUGACUACUUGAGAUUACCAGGUGGUGUAA